UCCUAGGGAUGGAGUAAGCUAGUGA
rnacentral:piRNA from 1 species